AACUUCUAAAGUGGGUCCUACUAACUCUUGCUUCCAUGAGGGGCCCAUGGGGAGCAGGUUAAGCUCUAGAUGCACAGGGAAUAAUGUCACUGCAUCGGGAGCCUCCCGGGACUCCCUUCACACUUAGAAUCAAGUCCAAAGUCCUCACCGUGACCGGAGCCCCCUCUGGAUGGCUUCUCUCUCUCCUUCCCAUGGCCUUUCCUGUCCCAAUCGCAGUUUCUCAAACUUGCUAAGCAUACUUCCAUCCCGGGACCAUUGCGGGGCUGGCUCGGGCUUUUAAAAACCCAAAGGGCACCCAAUCCUUCCCAAAAUAUUUCUACCAACUAGGGACCAAACAUUCAAACAGAUGAGCCUACUGGGGCCUUUCUCGUUCAAACCACCACAAGGGUCAGAGUGUACUCUAGUCAGGGAUUUCAUGUGGCUUCCUGAUCAAUCGCCAGGGCCCAAAUACACCGGACACAGAAGUGGCAUCUAAAAAGUUGGCUGGUGGCUUUAGAAGGUGGCAGCCAGAAGUAGGGUAAAGGUGGGAGUGACAAGUGCUUCUGGGUGAAAGGGGAAACACAGAGCUUAAAUAAGCAAACGUGAAAUAACGUAAACAAACACUUCCUGGGCUGCCACCCUCAGAAAAGCACCAAGCCCAUGACAGUUUACCGGUGUUCCUAGCAAACCUCUGCAAACCUCGGGGGGGGGGGGGGGGAGGAUGCUCUAUUAGGAGGAGGGUAAGAACGGCGCACUUCGUGAACAAGAUGCCUUUCAAGCAAACCUCAAAGGCAUGAAGCACAGUAGCAAGAACUUGGGGUCCCCCAGGCAACCAUAUGCAGUGUCAGUGGUGCCUACUCUAGAAAUAUCUUUCUCCAUCUGGCCCCUGUGUCCUCUCUCUUCGUCUCCCUCGCCCAACAUUCUCCAUCGUCCUGGUCACUGAAUCGCAAAGUGAGUAUCCCACAAACGUCAACCACUGUUGGACAGUGUCUAUAUGUCUAUCUCUGGCUAAAAAAGCAAGCCAGGAAUUACAUUUCCCUCAUCCUGGUGUCUUUGAUGCCUAAAAACACUGAAAGGCUCAAGGCAGCCGAACAUUAAGAGAAACCUUCAAGAACCGGUGCUGUGGACGCACAAGCAAUGGGCUCAGGUGGCAGGGCCUCAGAGAAGCUGAGAGCAUUAGUUGGUCUUCCUCGGGCUCCUUCUUUGAGCAAGGAGAAGGUGAGCAACAGAAGUCACACCCAAGGGCACAUCUGUCUACGCACUCUCCGUGAAGCUGCUCAGCGCGAGGUGGUGGGGUCUGGGCAACAAGGUGAGAAACGAGGAAGCAAGGCUGGCAUCUCCAGCAGCCCGGAAGCUGAGCUGAGGGAGAGGGAGAGGAGCAAAGGGCGGGAGGGGGCAGACUCUCCCUUCCACAGCUACAAGGGUCCAGACAGCCCUGCUUCACCCCCAACUGCAGCCGUGCAUCAAACAAGGCUGAGAAACCCCAUCAUCACGGCUCUAGGGCUGGGCUGUGCCCUCCAUCUCCUCAUCAGCCCUCAGACUCAGAUCAACCACUGCCAGUUCCAUGAGGCAGGGGCCUAGCUGAGACCAUCCAGGCCAUAGAUACAGCACAGCAUGGAUCCUAAUGGGACCCCUGCUGUGGACAUGGAGACCUGCCCGUUCAUAUCAGAGCUGCUGAGGUUAACUUGUAGAGUCAGCAGAUACAACAGUUCUGCAGCACAAACAGAGACCCUCUGGUCAGGAGACAGGGAGCUGAGAGGUCUGCAGUCCUGACAUGGUACCUGUGGCUGUGUAAAACAGCACACACACACACACACACACACACACACACACACACACACACACAAAAUGGUUCAGACAAUAACCAUUCACUACCUCACAACACUGCUUCUGCUGAUUAAGAAACCUAGAGUGGGGCUGGCAGGAUGGCUUAGCAGGUAGCACUCUGACUGCUCUACAGAAAGACCCUUAGUUCAAAUCCCAGCAACCACAUGGUGCGUCUGAAGUCAGCUACAGUGUACUUAUGUAUAAUAAUAAAACAAAUACAUAUGUAUAAUAAUAAAUACAUCUUUGGGCUGGAGCGAGCAGGGACUGAGUGAGUGGAGUUGACCGGAGCGAGCAGGGGUCCUAAAAUUCAAUUCCCAACAACCACAUGAAGGCUCACAACCAUCUGUACAGCUACAGUGUACUCACAUACAUAAAAUAAAUAAAUCAAUCUUUAAAAGAAAGAGA
rnacentral:lncRNA from 1 species